rnacentral:miRNA from 1 species
GCCUGGCACAUGGUAGGCAAUCAAUAAAUAUUUAUUGGAUGGAAAAAAAAACACAAAAAAAUUGCCAAUCUGUGCUUUUAGGUUAUCUUAAC